rfam:Citrus sinensis cultivar Ridge Pineapple sweet orange scaffold00157_contig_14, whole genome shotgun sequence.
AAGAGAGGAGUUUGUCAGCCUAGCCAAGGUGACUGCCCGGAACCAAAUUAAUGUUGUCAUCACAAAAAGUAAAUGACUGAAGCCACGUCUCACUCAUAUGGAGCGGGCAAGUCAUCCUUGGCUAUCAAACAUUACUUCUAUCU